ensembl:lncRNA novel transcript
ACCUCCGCCAUUCUUGUAGCACAGGGUCUUCUCUGGCCCAGCCUUUGACUGAAGCUGGUCUGGAGACAGGGGCGUUAGAGAAGUGACUCAUAGAUGGCCUAAAUAAGCGGGGCCACUCAAGGACCCAGGACAGGGGGAAGAGGGCCAACCCAUCUGGACCGCAGGCAAACCCCAUGGCCUUUGAGAGAAGAGAGAAGAGGACCCGGUGAAGUAGGCUCCGAGGGCCUCAGCCCAGCAGGAGCGCAGGGAGCUGCACCAGGAACUCACAGAGGAUCAGGGAGAAUUCUGAGAACAUGCUACUGUGGUGCUGCCUAGAGAGGAAGGAUAAAUGAUGACAAGUACAUCUCUGAGUAACGUAUGGGCACUUGUUCAUGAAAACUGUUUUUCUGAAAGCUUGUGAAGGUCUUGAAAUACUCGCUAUCAGUUGAGGACAAACAUUUACACCCUCCUUCCACAGGGAGUUCAAGCAGGCUGGAUGGGUCCAUCUAUGGAUGAUCUUCCCCAGCCCCUUCCUCUUCCCAGCUCAUCCCUGGCUCUCUGUGUGAACAGGUCUCAUCAGUGGAAUGUGGUUGAUGAAGUGAGGUCUUCAAUUUUCUCAUCUACUGUGUGGUCAUGUUAUUUUCCUCAUCUGAGGCUUAAAAACUCACCUGCAUGCAGCACAUGACAGCUUAAAAUCUCUUGUGAACAAAACAGUAACAAAGACACCCACCAGCGUUGAGCAUCCCGUGUUGAUGACAGCGACCACCAGGGGUCAACGUCCUCUUCACAAUCCUGUGUCAGAGCAUCACUUGACUGAUUUCAUUAGCAACUUCCCAGGAGAAUCAGCUUACAAAAUACUUGUCCCAUUUUCCAUGCAGAUGUAACCCAUCUAUUUUACUGAAGAAAUGGGAAGAGCUGAAUGCUGAAUACACUGAAUGUCUGCAGGUUGUGCAAGUUUGUGACUUUAUCACUUUCUAAUUUCUGAUCUGUGUGGACCACUCUACAGAUUUUUCUCACUGGUGUGAUCAGCCUUCUGGAUGUCAAAUAUAAUAGACUUUCAAUAAUAUAAAAGUCAACACAAGCUCCUCAUGGUUUCAGUGCUCAGUGAUGACUCUAAACUUACACAAUGUGUUUCUUUAUUAGUUUUGUUUUCUGGUAUCUCUACUCGGCAUCUUCACCACACCCAUUUUAUGUUUCUUAUACAGGCUUUCUUCUAUGAAAUGCUAUGUCAUGAAUAUGCAAAUAACCUGAGAUCCACUGAGGUAAAUUUGGAUGUCUGUGCCCUGAGAGCAUCACCCAACAACCACAUCCCUCCUCUAUAGAAGCCCCUGAGAACACAGCUCCUCACCAUGGACUGUACCUGGGGGAUCCACUUCUUGGUGGCAGCUGCCACAGGUGUCCAUUCCCAGGUUCAGCUGUUGCAGCCUGGGGCUGAGGUGAAGAAGCCUGGGUCCUCAGUGAAGGUCUCCUGCCAGGCUUCCAGAUACACCUUCACCAAAUACUUUACACGGCCACAAUCAACUUAUGAGUGUUUAAACUUCACCUACUUGAUUGGAGGACUAUUCACCUCAGAUAUUUGGAAUACUUCUGUAAGGAGAUGUGUUCGUCUUCCCAAUAUUUAUUUUCAUAAUCAUCUAUUAAUAUGUGUAUUGGUUUAUGAAUAUAUAUUUCAUA